AUGGAUUUCAGCAUGGUGAUAGAUACCCCAGGUUAUUCAACUUUCAUCGAUACCCCUACCAUUCAGCGACAUUUUGUUGAGCGGCUGUCGCUGUUAUUCAACGAUCCAGACACUUCCAAUAUAGUGAUCGAAUCAGUACUUCUUGGCUCUACUGUUAUCACAUGGCAUAAUCGUAGCUUGUCCACUGAUAAAUGUCCUGAGGAUGUAGGAGCGUUGCUUCGCAAAGUGCUCCUGACAGACGAUGACACAUCACUCUCCAGAAACGUGUCAACGAAGUCAUGGGUCCAGAGUUCCACGUCGUCUCGGCGCAUGUUGCACCGGCCGGCGUAUGUCUGACCGCUUACACGGAGGGUCUACAUCCCCGACUUGAUUGUGCCCGUCAUCGAUGACAUUCAACCGGUCUCAGCGUCCGGCGAAUACCUAGUCACAUUCGUCAUUCCUACCAUCAUCAUCUUCGUGAUGCUCGUCUUCUCCAGCUUCUUGCGUGUCACCUGUACCGACGGAAGCGAAACGGGUAAAAUGAGCAUCAGCGACGAGGACGAGCGGCGGAGUUUUCCGAAGCAAAAGGCAUCCCCGUGAUAUUCCAAGACGAAUUGGAAGAGAAAUUCGAGGAGCCGUCGAAUAAGUCGCCGAUCAUCAUGAAAGAAGAGCGGCCUCCUCUUCCCCCUCCACAGUACCCGAGGGCCUUGCCUCUGCCAACGACAGCCUUCUAUCGGAUACUGAGGACUCUCCCCUACCAACCCCCACCGCCUUUCACAACCUCGAGGGGCGACACCGACAGGCAAUCUCGGCCCAAGCCCACGCCACAUAUAGGAUGCCUCCGCCUUACGUACCACCACCUUAAGAAAUAUCUCUCCGAAAUCUCAUUGAAUUAAGUCAGCGGUAAAAUCUUGUGGGAUUCGAGUUUCUCCAAUCAAAAUUUGUAAACUAAUGUGUAAUUUUAUCGACUCGUGACUUCGGUGUGUAAAUCUCAAUAAAUGACUGUGCCACAAAAUCGCUAAGUGCAUUUCGCAUUUGUAGCUUUCUAGGUUUUUUACGUUUAUCAUUUUUAUUUAUUUAUAUUAUUUAUUUGUACAUAGCGUGCUCUACUGAUAGAAAUUAUGUAGAUCAGUGUCAAACUUCAAACAUAUCCUUCAACUAGAGUCGGUAAUGUAACAUUCAUGGUCUCCUAGUAUUUCUCCUAAUCGGAUACUCUGUCAAUUUCUAAGUUUGGAAUUUGUUAAAAGAGGAAACCAUACAAGAAAUUAACUUAAUUCAUACGCAAGGUUACAAGUUUAGCUAAUGUAACUUAAUGGUGCAAAUAUAGUUUAGACUACGAUAUACUUUUAGUCAGACUGAAUUAAGGAUUUUAAAUUCUUGGUGAAAUUAAUCCAAUAUUUGCUAUCAAAUAACUCAUUUGUGGUUUCUUUUUAUCUACUUAACCAUGCCUUCUUAAGUAGAUCCCUUAUCUUAAGCUUUACAGAACUUAACAAUCUGUCGUAAGUUCUAACUAAAAUAGAUAAUAUCAAAUGAUUUGUUUGCAUUUUUUAAGUAGUUUGCAUUUUUUGGUGUGGUUGUAAGUUCUGUAAGGUAACAUGUGCAUGGUGACUGUUCAGUUAUUAUUUUAAGUUAAGAUUUGGUGCAUUGAAUUAAAUUAUGUCCUCUGGUAUGUUUGAUUGGACAGCAUUUUGCAAUUAGAAACUACAUUAUCAGGCUCAGUUUAGAAACAACGUAUCCUGAUCUUAUGUAUCCCUAUAUACAUAACUGUUUUCAGGAUGAGCCGUAAAUUUUAGUCGCUAAUUGCAAAAUGAAGUCCAUUCCUACCAUGUAGUUUGUAAUUUUCUUCGCUCAGGAAGCCACAGAGUCAACCACUUUUCUGUCACUUCGCUUUUAGCUCCAGCUACCAUGACUGUGCUAAGAAUAAGUUACUAUUUAAUUUUAAGUUUUAAAAAUCUAAUAAUUUGAUGAAGCUGUAAAUAGUUCCUGAGAUUAUAUUUUCUUGCUGUAUCUUAUUUGUCGUGCCUGAGACAAAAUAGGGAUGGACAUGUGUCUCAGGAAAUUGUAUCUCCAUGUGAAUUUAGAUCUCUGAAAAAGCACAAUAUCAGAAAUCAUCUUAAUGAGCUGUUGCAUGAUUUUUGUUUGUUUACUUACAACAAGGAGACAUACGUUUUUUAUUUAUCAAUCAAUCAAAUUUUAGCAAGAAAAUGACUUUAAAGUUGUGGAAAAUCUGAAUCCUUUUCGAAUGGUAAAAUAUUAAGCCUACAGAUUUUGUUAUGUCCCAGUGUAAUUAAAUACCUCUCUUCGUUUUCACCAUCAUUGUUUACGCUCAAGAAUAUUCUGCUGUUUCUCUCCCACAAUGCAGUUUUACGGUUUAUACUUCCUUUCUCUGCUCUUGCUCAUUUCCACAGCAUCUUUAAUAAGAUAAUUAACUGUAAAAAAUUGCAAGAAGAUGAACAUCUUUUGGAUACUCCAACUCGGUCACUGUUACUCACAAGUCAAGGUUAAAUCAGAGCUGGUUGAAGCUCACAGAUGCAUUUCUCACGAAAAUUACAUUGACCAUGCCAAAGACCGAGAUAAUUUCAGAAUCCUGCAACAGCUCCACUGAACCAUGCAUUGCGAAAAAUGACCCUCUCUUUAUUUCGAAACACUUUCUCUUUCCUCUUCAAGCUAAUCAUUCAGCUUUUUUUGCUUUUUUUAGCUAUAGUAUCGCAAAAAUUUAAAUAUUACAUUUUAUUAAGGAAAGAAAAUCAAGAUAGCUUGAGUCACAUGGAGAGAGAUGAAAGGAGUGCUCUUCCAAAAAGGAGAUGGUUAUUUUCGAAUGUGUUUAUUCAUGAAUUGGAAAGGUCAAAUAUUAAAGAGCAAGGUCAUCAUUGUAGUUAUUUUUCCUGAUUAAUGGUUAAUUUUUACAUCAUUAUUUUUCCUUCAAAUUAUUCAAUUACUAUUCAUUAUACAUUGCUUCAAUGAAAAGGUCAUGCAAAGUAAAUUAAAUACCAAAUAAGUAAAUAAUAUAAAGAGGAGAGCACGCUCAUGAUUUCGGCCGUUUCUAUUACGUGGCUGAUAAAAAUUUGGUCUUGGUACCUCUAAAGUAGGGUUUUUAAAAUUCUCUCCGAGACUGUUUCAUCUCUCCUAACAACUUUUAAACACUUUUGACUGAAAUAUGUUACUGGUUUUAAAUAUGUACUUUAUAAUCGAAUUUGACAUUUUUUGUUAACUUUUUUGAUUAGAAAGGACCCCUUGCUGUAUUCUAAGUGAGCAAUGAUUGAACAGUCUCAUCUCGUUUUUUCAUCAUCAUUUAUCAAUUUUUUCUCUUUCCAAUGCGAUCAAAUGAUCCUAAUUUUAUCCGUUUCAGGUCUUCUUUAUAUUACAUUGUACGUACGCCCCGGUCUUACCUCCGACUUUGAAGUGAGGUAACAAAAGACUGGAAAAUUGUCUAACUUGUAAAUCGAUCACGUGAAUUCAUGGGCAUAGGUCUGUUGACUAUGAAGCUUUUUCUCCAGGGUUAAAAUUGUUUCAGUUUGGGGUGUAUUUUCUGACACUAAAAUAUUAUUUUGCCUUUCAGGGUUAAAGUCUCUCAACUCAGCCAAUUCUCACAUUUUAAAUAAAAUAAAUGAUAGUGACAGCUAGCUCUUCGUUAAGACGGAAAUUAAAUUUUUGUGUGGAAUUUAAUACCAUAAAGUAUGUUGAUUAAUUUACCCAUUUUAUAUUGCUCCGUACUGUUAUUUUACUCUUUUGAUAAUUGAUCCUAGAUUUUUAAGUUGUUCUUUUUUUUAAAUUUUUUUUCCUCGCAUAAGUCUAUUUGGGUUGGGGGAAAAUAUUAGCCCACAGGAUUUUUUUACUUUUUUUUUUGCAUUUGUCAAUUGAUUUUAGCAAGGAAAAUAACUGAGACUUAGUUACAUGCACCUUAAUCAAUAAUCAAUACUUACAAUGCAACGUAAACUUGUGUAAUUUCAUCAUCGAAACAACUCCUGAGUUAAAGUUUUAAAAUGUCUCAUUUUCCGAAUUUAGCAUUUAUGAAUCCGUAUUACAAAGAUUUUAGCAAGUAUGUUGUACAUUUUUAUAAUUAUGUCAUUUUUCAGGCUGAAAAAGUGUGAAAUGGCUUUUUUUUAUCCGUAAUCCUCUUUCGUGCAAUGCAUAUUUUACGUCCUUCUUUAUUCUCACAGGGAUUCAAUAUAAUUUUUGUUUCAUACUCUGCUGCUAAGGUAUUCUCCCCGAGUGUUUUUGCCAUGAUCCAGACUCAUGCCUUGCAAAACAAUUUCCUUCAUUUUCAUAGUGAAGUUGAAAUUCGUUAAAUGUCGUUCUUCUCACUUCCUAAGGGAGCUUAUUUAUAUUUUAAGGAAAGAAUGUGUGUUGGUCAAUAAGUAGUUCAUAUUAGAAUGACUUUAAAGAACUGUACUGUUGUGUUUUGUACAAAUGUCUUUUUUUUUUUUUCUUUUUGUGUCGUGAAGUUU
rnacentral:lncRNA from 1 species